GACGAACGCUGGCGGCGUGCUUAACACAUGCAAGUCGAACGGAAAGGCCCUGCUUUUGUGGGGUGCUCGAGUGGCGAACGGGUGAGUAACACGUGAGUAACCUGCCCUUGACUUUGGGAUAACUUCAGGAAACUGGGGCUAAUACCGGAUAGGAGCUCCUGCUGCAUGGUGGGGGUUGGAAAGUUUCGGCGGUUGGGGAUGGACUCGCGGCUUAUCAGCUUGUUGGUGGGGUAGUGGCUUACCAAGGCUUUGACGGGUAGCCGGCCUGAGAGGGUGACCGGCCACAUUGGGACUGAGAUACGGACCAGACUACUACGGGAGGCAGCAGUGGGGAAUAUUGCACAAUGGGCGGAAGCCUGAUGCAGCAACGCCGCGUGCGGGAUGACGGCCUUCGGGUUGUAAACCGCUUUCGCCUGUGACGAAGCGUGAGUGACGGUAAUGGGUAAAGAAGCAACGGCUAGCUACGUG
rnacentral:rRNA from 1 species